rnacentral:rRNA from 1 species
GACGAACCGUGCGAACGUUGUUCGGAAUCACUGGGCUUAAAGGGCGCGUAGGCGGCUGCGCAAGUCCGGGGGUGAAAGCCCCCAGCUCAACUGGGGAAGUGCCUUGGAAACUGUGCAGCUCGAGCGAGGUAGGGGUGAUGGGAACGUUCCGGUGGAGCGGUGAAAUGCGUUGGAUAUCGGAAGGAAUCGCCGGUGGCGAAAGCGCAUCACUGG